rnacentral:snoRNA from 1 species
GUACAAAUCUCAAGUGUGUUUGGGUCUCGGGUGACCCUGUGUAUUCCAACAGUGCUUGUGAGCAGAAGAUGAAAAUA